rnacentral:rRNA from 1 species
GAUGAACGCUGGCGGCGUGCCUAAUACAUGCAAGUCGAGCGAACAGAUGAGGAGCUUGCUCCUCUGACGUUAGCGGCGGACGGGUGAGUAACACGUGUAUAACCUACCUAUAAGACUGGGAUAACUUCGGGAAACCGGAGCUAAUACCGGAUAAUAUAUUGAACCGCAUGGUUCAAUAGUGAAAGACGGUUUUGCUGUCACUUAUAGAUGGAUCCGCGCCGCAUUAGCUAGUUGGUAAGGUAACGGCUUACCAAGGCGACGAUGCGUAGCCGACCUGAGAGGGUGAUCGGCCACACUGGAACUGAGACACGGUCCAGACUCCUACGGGAGGCAGCAGUAGGGAAUCGUCCGCAAUGGGCGAAAGCCUGACGGAGCAACGCCGCGUGAGUGAUGAAGGUCUUCGGAUCGUAAAACUCUGUUAUUAGGGAAGAACAAAUGUGUAAGUAACUAUGCACGUCUUGACGGUACCUAAUCAGAAAGCCACGGCUAACUACGUG